GAAAUGCGAUAAGUAGUGUGAAUUGCAGAAUUCAGUGAAUCAUCGAAUCUUUGAACGCACAUUGCGCCCUUUGGUAUUCCUUAGGGCAUGCCUGUUCGAGCGUCAUCUAAACCUUCAAGCCCUGCUUGGUGUUGGGUGCCUGUCCCGCCUCCGCGCGCGGACUCACCUCAAAUCCAUUGGCGGCCCCCGCGUCGGCCACGAGCGCAGCAGAAACGCGAACUCGUGAGCCCGUCCGGGCGGCUCCCAGAAGCUACACCCACCCAGUUUGGCCUCGGAUCAGGUAGGGAUACCCGCUGAACUUAAGC
rnacentral:misc_RNA from 1 species